rfam:Fukomys damarensis contig148763, whole genome shotgun sequence.
GGAAAUAUAGCUCAGUGGUAAAGCACUUGCCUAGCAUGCAUGAGUCCUGGGUUUGAUCGCCAAUACUGCCA